ensembl:lncRNA
CAUGAGUUCCCAAUGCUGAACCCCCCUCCCACCUCCCACCCCAUAUUAUUGAAGCAACAUGUUAGGGCGUACCCCAUACAGACCAGAUGGGACUCCUUGCGGUGGGACCCAGGCACGGCAUCUUUGUAGCUCCUCUUGAGAAGCACCUCCGGUGCGUUCUGAGGAGAAUGCAGAGGGGUGGUGCGAAGGCCCUUUCCAGAUUGUUAAUUGAGCCAGUGGCCCCGGGCUUCUCAGCCCUGAGGCUGAGGUCAGCUGGUGCUGUCAGAGGACCCUGCCCCUCCCCUUGGCUGCUUGCCUAGCCACCUUCGGUCCCUUGAGUUUUCAGGAAGUCUGGACGUGACCAGUGCCUUCCUCUGGGGCAGGCUGUUUCACUGGGCUUGGCAGGAGGAAAUUUGUACCCACAAGGUCCCAGGGCCCUGUGAAUCAGAGCUCACCAGAAGCCCUGCCCCGGGAGACAGCCCUCCUGGCAGGGCUGUGUCACUUUGGGAGAGGUUUAAAAAUACAGAUUCCUGGACUCCCCACCCAUAUACAUUGAUUCCAAAGGUGUGGGGGAGAGGACAGAGUUUCUACCUUAAAAAGGUAAAAAAAAAAAAAUCCUGAGCCCUACUAUCUAUUACUCCUGCUUAUUUUUAAAUUUUUUCAUUGAUAAUACAUGCAUGUGGGAAAAUGGUACAGAAAGGCUCAGGUGACAAGCCCUCAUGAGCUGUCUCCUCUUGGAUGUCCUGUGUGGAGCUGAGCCCCGGGGUUCUGUGGCUUGCAAAUGUGAGGGAAGAUGGGCUGAUGGACACGGCAGGAACCGAAGGACCUUGAUCCUGGGGCACACCGACCAUUGCGAUCACUCAGCUUGGAAUCCUGUUAGAAGGAGCAGAAGGUGUAAUGGCUGGAGAUGGAGCAGCCUUCUGGAACAUGAGAUCGUUUUAGGAAUGGAGAAUGG